GUAGGGAAUAUUGGACAAUGGGCGAAAGCCUGAUCCAGCAAUGCCGCGUGAGUGAUGAAGGCCCUAGGGUUGUAAAGCUCUUUUACCCGGGAUGAUAAUGACAGUACCGGGAGAAUAAGCUCCGGCUAACUCCGUGCCAGCAGCCGCGGUAAUACGGAGGGAGCUAGCGUUGUUCGGAAUUACUGGGCGUAAAGCGCACGUAGGCGGCGAUCUAAGUCAGGGGUGAAAGCCCGGGGCUCAACCCCGGAAUAGCCCUUGAGACUGGAUUGCUUGAAUCCGGGAGAGGUGAGUGGAAUUCCGAGUGUAGAGGUGAAAUUCGUAGAUAUUCGGAAGAACACCAGUGGCGAAGGCGGCUCACUGGACCGGCAUUGACGCUGAGGUGCGAAAGCGUGGGGAGCAAACAGGAUUAGAUACCCCGGUAGUCC
rnacentral:rRNA from 1 species